rnacentral:rRNA from 1 species
UACCCCUAGCAAAUCUCAAAAAACCGUCUCAGUUCAGAUUGUCCUCUGCAACUCGAGGGCAUGAAGCUGGAAUCGCUAGUAAUCGCAGAUCAGCACGCUGCGGUGAAUACGUUCCCGGGCCUUGUACACACCGCCCGUCACACCACGAAAGCUUGUUGUACCUGAAGUCGCCCAAGCCAACCGCAAGGAGGCAGGCGCCCACGGUAUGGUCAGCGACUGGGGUGAAG